GCUGGGCAUAGUAGCGGGUGCCUGUAAUCCCAGCUACUCGGGAGGCUGAGGCAGGAGAAUCACUUGAACCCAGGAGACGGAGGUUGCAGUGAGCAGAGAUUGUGCCAUUGCAAUCUAGCCUGGGUGACAGAGCGAGACUCUGUAUCAA
rnacentral:SRP_RNA from 1 species